CUCAUUGCAAGCAUACAAUGCAAGAAUUACAAUAAUGUACAAUAUUGAUGCAUAAAUUAUAAAAUAAUUCUACUUUCAGAUUGUAUUUUCCAUAUUUGAGAUUUUGCAAAAAUAUUUAUUUCUCUCAAUACGGAAAUAUGCAUAUUUAGGUUGUUAGGACUUGUUUUAAUAGAAUUAAAUAGAAUUUAAUAGAAUUAAUUUCCCCAGACAAGAUGUCACGUUUGUGUCACCAAUUUUUCAAAGUGUAUUUUGGCCGUAAUCUGUAGCACUUUAAACGUGGAUUACAGACUGCAAAAGUUACACAUCCAAUUAUCAGAAUAACUGUGCUAUUGACAGGGUUGGCUGUUGAAAAGCGAACGUGAUAGCCCAUGUAUGAAAUUGAAAAUUAGAGAACAAGUUCACUCAAAUAAUCAUUUUUGCAACGGUACGCUACUAGAAUAAUUGUGAGAACAAAUACCUACAUUUAGGCAUUUACAUAAAUCUACUUUUUAGCCAUUCCAUGUCACAAAGGAAUGCAUGCUUCGUUUGUGCAUCUAGCAUGAACUGAAAUUCCAUUUUUUCAUGGAGGUGCUAAGGGAGCAAUGACAUGAACAACAUCUUUAUAAAAAAAAAAAAAAAAAAAAUUAAUAAAAAAAUAGAAUACUGGUUGCCAGUUCUUGACAUAUAUUGCAACCUGUUGCUUUUCUUAAUAUUUUUUAAAGUAAUAAAUACUAACAAUUUAAUUUGUGAAUAAUAGAGCAUAAAGUGGCAUAUUUGCACUACGUAGUUAGUAAUGGAGGAUGAUAUGGACCAUAUCUAAAUAAAUAUAUAUUCAGAUUUUUUAUUUCAAUUAAAUAUUUAUGGAAACAUUUUCAAGGUGCAUGUUAACCAAUUCACUGACUUAUCAGACGUCACACAAAAAGUAAAAAAAAAAAAAAUGAAACAGAUCAGCUAAAUCCAGGGAUACCCAUUUGCUCACACAAUGACAAAGAACCUGACUAUUUUUCCAUCCUCUUCUCUAUGCAAAUCAGCAUUCACAUCAAAUGUUAAGGAGGUAAAGGCAUUUAUAUUAUAAAGGAUACUGUAUGUUAGCUUUUUUUUUUUCUAAUUGGGUUUAAAAAUGUAGAUGCUAUACAGCAGUGUGAGAAAUAUAGCUUUUCAUACCAAUGCACACAUGUGCAUCCUAAAUGAAAAAAGUGACUUUUAGAAAAGCAAGGGGGGCAAUCAAAUCUAAAUAUUAGAUUACGAUCGAUCCUACCCUUCUAACAAACAUGAAAACAUCACUAGAAGGAAUCUCCAGGCACCAAAACUCCAACAGAAUCUUUGUUGUUAAUGCCACAGAAAGUGCAAAAACAUCUUGCACCAUAACUAGCCACAUAGCAUAGCAAAAUCCCAUUCAAGGGAAAAGUCAGUACAUGUAUAAUACGGCUGCAGACAGCUUCUCGUUCACUUGAAAUGAAAGUCUUUAUUACAAGAAUAGACUUUUGUUAGUUUAGUUGACAUAAUUUUUCAAUUGAAGAAGAAAAUGGUUUUGGUGUAAUUACUCAUGUGCAUGCUUUUCUUACAUUGGUUUCAAAGGGAAAUUAAUGAGCAUGCUUUUGUGACUAGUAUUGGCUAAAAUAUCUCAGCCAUUUCUUGUUAUUAUUUAUACAGCGCCAACAUAAUCUGUAGCGUUGUAUAAUAUCUACCUGGUAUAUGAGAUUCCUUGGAAGUCUGAUCUAUUAUAGGUAGCUAUGAACACAUCUCUUCUUAUACCCAUUAGACAUCCAUACCUAAGAUGAAUAGGAACAUAGAAUAUGUAAUAUUCUACAAGCACACUACAAAAUAUAGAAAGGGGAUAUUUAGAGACGAAGAAGGCCCUGCUCAAAACAAGAUUCAUUACUGUAGAAACAUCAAUAACCAUGAGCUUUUCUGCAAAAGUGCGAAAAAACACACACAACAAAUCAUUUUUAUCACUAUAAAGUAUAAAAACAGAGAGGUAAAUUUAUAUUGGAGUGACUUGGAAAAGAAAAAUAAGUUGGGGUAAUAAUAAGAAAUCUCUCUAAAUGCAGACAAAUACGACCUCUGUGGUUCCAAUACCACUUAAAGGAACCAAUCCACUAAACACAAAGUACAAAUCCCACAAACUGACAAGGUGGCUCUUAAUGUACCACUAUAGUGCCAGGAAAACAUACCCUCAGGGUCCCCCUCCCGCCGGGCUCUGGAGAGAGGAAGGGGUUAAAAUCUUACCUUUCUCCAGCGCCGGGCGGGGAGCUUUCCUCCUCCCUAGCGACGUCAUCGGCAGAAUGCGCAUGCGCGGCAGGAGCUGCGCACACAUUCAGCCAGUUCAUAGGAAAGCAUUUAUAAUGCUUUCCUAUGGACGCUGGCGUCUUCUCACUGUGAUUUUCAAUGAGACAGCCACUAGGGGCUGGAUUAACCCUAACCUAAACAUAGCCGUUUCUCUGAAACGGCUAUGUUUACUGCAAAAAGGGUUAACC
rnacentral:lncRNA from 1 species